AAUGAACGCUGGCGGCAUGCCUUACACAUGCAAGUCGAACGGCAGCAUGACCUAGCUUGCUAGGUUGAUGGCGAGUGGCGAACGGGUGAGUAAUACAUCGGAACGUGCCUUUUAGUGGGGGAUAACGUAGCGAAAGUUACGCUAAUACCGCAUAUUCUCUGAGGAGGAAAGCAGGGGACCUUCGGGCCUUGCGCUAGAAGAGCGGCUGAUGUCGGAUUAGCUAGUUGGUGAGGUAAAGGCUCACCAAGGCAACGAUCCGUAGCGGGUCUGAGAGGAUGAUCGGCCACACGGGGACUGAGACACGGCCCAGACUCCUACGGGAGGCAGCAGUGGGGAAUUUUGGACAAUGGGCGAAAGCCUGAUCCAGCCAUGCCGCGUGAGUGAAGAAGGCCUUCGGGUUGUAAAGCUCUUUCGGCUGGGAAGAAAUCGCAUUCUCUAAUACAGGAUGUGGAUGACGGUACCAGCAUAAGAAGCACCGGCUAACUACGUGCCAGCCGCCGCAGUAA
rnacentral:rRNA from 1 species